AGAGAGGUGGCCGAGUGGUCGAAGGCGCACGCCUGGAGAGCGUGUAUCCCGGAAAACCGGGAUCGCGGGUUCGAAUCCCGUCCUCUCUG
rnacentral:tRNA from 1 species